rnacentral:miRNA from 2 species
GUUUUUGCGACGCGAUGACGU